UUUCUUGGUACCUGCACCCAGAUGCCGUUCAACCUGUAAAAAAAAUAAUUAUUAGAACGUAAACUUUGUAUACGAAUGUUUAUCUUAAGCAUGAAAAAUCAGUAAGUGCAAUGGUUUGUCUGUCAUUUUCUUCCGAGAGAUUCCCACACAAAAAUUCAUCAUUAUAAUUAGACCCUACUGAAAAUUUUUAUAAACUUACUCAA